rnacentral:rRNA from 1 species
AUUGAACGCUGGCGGCAUGCCUUACACAUGCAAGUCGAACGGCAGCACGGGUGCUUGCACCUGGUGGCGAGUGGCGAACGGGUGAGUAAUACAUCGGAACAUGUCCUGUAGUGGGGGAUAGCCCGGCGAAAGCCGGAUUAAUACCGCAUACGAUCUACGGAUGAAAGCGGGGGACCUUCGGGCCUCGCGCUAUAGGGUUGGCCGAUGGCUGAUUAGCUAGUUGGUGGGGUAAAGGCCUACCAAGGCGACGAUCAGCAGCUGGUCUGAGAGGACGACCAGCCACACUGGGACUGAGACACGGCCCAGACUCCUACGGGAGGCAGCAGUGGGGAAUUUUGGACAAUGGGCGAAAGCCUGAUCCAGCAAUGCCGCGUGUGUGAAGAAGGCCUUCGGGUUGUAAAGCACUUUUGUCCGGAAAGAAAUCCUUGGCCCUAAUACGGUCGGGGAAUGACGGUACCGGAAGAAUAAGCACCGGCUAACUACGUG